rnacentral:rRNA from 1 species
CCUACGGGUGGCAGCAGUGGGGAAUAUUGGGCAAUGGAGGCAACUCUUACCCAGCAAUGCCGCGUGAAUGAAGAAGGUCUUCGGAUUGUAAAGUUCUUUAAUUGGGGACGAAAAAAAUGACGGUACCCAAGGAAUAAGCCCCGGCUAACUACGUGCCAGCAGCCGCGGUAAUACGUAGGGGGCAAGCGUUAUCCGGAUUUACUGGGUGUAAAGGGAGCGUAGACGGCUGUGCAAGUCUGAAGUGAAAGCCCGUGGCUCAACCGCGGAACUGCUUUGGAAACUGUAUAGCUUGAGUACUGGAGAGGCAGGCGGAAUUCCUAGUGUAGCGGUGAAAUGCGUAGAUAUUAGGAGGAACACCAGUGGCGAAGGCGGCCUGCUGGACAGAAACUGACGUUGAGGCUCGAAAGCGUGGGGAGCAAACAGGAUUAGAUACCCUAGUAGUU